rnacentral:rRNA from 1 species
GACGAACGCUGGCGGCGUGCUUAACACAUGCAAGUCGAACGGAAAGGCCCUUCGGGGUCCUCGAGUGGCGAACGGGUGAGUAACACGUGGGUGAUCUGCCCUGCACUUUGGGAUAAGUCUGGGAAACUGGGUCUAAUACCGAAUAGGACCACGCGCUUCAUGGUGUGUGGUGGAAAGCUUUUGCGGUGUGGGAUGGGCCCGCGGCCUAUCAGCUUGUUGGUGGGGUAAUGGCCUACCAAGGCGACGACGGGUAGCCGGCCUGAGAGGGUGACCGGCCACACUGGGACUGAGAUACGGCCCAGACUCCUACGGGAGGCAGCAGUGGGGAAUAUUGCACAAUGGGCGCAAGCCUGAUGCAGCGACGCCGCGUGAGGGAUGACGGCCUUCGGGUUGUAAACCUCUUUCAAUAGGGACGAAGCGCAAGUGACGGUACCUAUAGAAGAAGCACCGGCCAACUACGUG